AGCAGCCGCGGUAAUUCCAGCUCCAAUAGCGUAUAUUAAAGUUGUUGCAGUUAAAAAGCUCGUAGUUGAAUUUCGGAGUUUGUCGGUUGGUCGGGCUUCACUGUCCGCACUGACCUGAUGGAUUCCUACCUUCUGAAUAACCAGCAUGCUAUUAAGUUAGUGCGUUGGGGAAGCAGAGCUAUUACCUUGAAAAAAUUAGAGUGCUUAAGGCAGGCUUGUGCUUGAAUAGAUUAGCAUGGAAUAAUAAAAUAGGACGGCAUGGUUCUAUUUUGUUGGUUUCUAGGAUCACCGUAAUGAUUAAUAGGGAUAGUUGGGGGCAUUAGUAUUCAAUUGUCAGAGGUGAAAUUCUUGGAUUUAUUGAAGACUAACUUCUGCGAAAGCAUUUGCCAAGGAUGUUUUCAUUAAUCAAGAACGAAAGUUAGGGGAUCGAAGACGAUCAGAUACCGUCGU
rnacentral:rRNA from 1 species